AUAGGAGGUCCAGCCUGCCCAGUGACUUAAGUUAAACGGCCGCGGUACCCUAACCGUGCGAAGGUAGCACAAUCACUUGUUCUUUAAAUAAGGACUAGUAUGAAUGGCAUCACGAGGGCUAUACUGUCUCCCACAUUUAAUCAGUGAAACUAAUCCCCCCGUGAAGAAGCGGGGAUACAAAUAUAAGACGAGAAGACCCCAUGGAGCUUUAAACUCAGUAUCACAUGCUAAUGCUACAUCAAAUAAACAAGCAAAUCUGACUACUAGUUUUCGGUUGGGGUGACCACGGAGUAAAAAAAAACCUCCAUGACGAAAGGAACUCACACUCCUAAUCAAAGAGCUACAACUCGCAGAAUCAACAUAUUGACCAAAUGACCCAAUUUUUGAACAACGAACCAAGUUACCCUGGGGAUAACAGCGCAAUCCAUUUUAAGAGCCCCUAUCGACAAAUGGGUUUACGACCUCGAUGUUGGAUCAGGGUAUCCCAGUGGUGCAGCCGCUACUAAAGGUUCGUUUGUUCAACGAUUAAA
rnacentral:rRNA from 1 species